rnacentral:rRNA from 1 species
AUGCGGUAUGACGGUACCCUUUCGAAUAAGAGGUUGCUAACUCUGUGCCAGCAGCAGCGGUAAUACAGAGACCUCGAGCGUUAUCCGGAUUUACUGGGCGUAAAGCGUCUGUAGGGGGUUUGUUAAGUUCCAAGUAAAAUCUUAAGGCUCAACUUUAAGUUCGCUUGGAAAACUAAUAAACUGGAGUCCAGCAGAGAUGCAUGGAACUUGCGGUGUAGGAGCGAAAUCCGUUGAUAUCGCAAGGAACACCAAAGGCGAAGGCAUUGCACUGGGCUGGUACUGACCCUGAGAGACGAAAGCGUGGGGAGCAAAACGGAUUAGAUACCCGUGUAGUCCACGCCGUAAACGAUGGAUACUAGAUGUUCGGGGAUUCGACCCCCUGGGUGUCACAGCUAACGCGUUAAGUAUCCCGCCUGGGAAGUACGGCCGCAAGGCUAAAACUCAAAGGAAUAGACGGGGAUCCGCACAAGCGGUGGAGCGUCUGGUUUAAUUUGAUAGUAAGCAAUGGACCUCACCAAGGUUUGACAUCCUAUGACAACCCUGGAAACAGGGCUUCCUUCGGGCAUAGUGACAGGUGCUGCAUGGUCGUCGUCAGUUCGUGCCGUGAGGUGUUCCGUUAAGUCGGGAAACGAACGAAACCCUCGUCGCAUGUUACAAAUUUCAUGCGAGACUGCCCGGGUCAACCGGGAGGAAGGCGGGGAUGACGUCAGAUCAGCAUGGCCCUUAUACCUUGGGCUACACAGGCGCUACAAUGGCCGGUACAAAGGGUUGCAAAACCGCGAGGUGAAGCUAAUCCCAUAAAGCCGGUCCAAGUUCGGAUUGGAGGCUGCAACUCGCCUCCAUGAAGUUGGAAUCGCUAGUAAUCGUGGAUCAGCCAUACCACGGUGAUACGUUCCCGGAUCUUGUACUCACCGCCCGUCACACCAAGAGAGUUGGUAGCUCCUGAAGC